UCCUGGCUCAGAUUGAACGCUGGCGGCAGGCCUAACACAUGCAAGUCGAACGGUAGCACAGAGAGCUUGCUCUCGGGUGACGAGUGGCGGACGGGUGAGUAAUGUCUGGGAAACUGCCCGAUGGAGGGGGAUAACUACUGGAAACGGUAGCUAAUACCGCAUAACGUCUUCGGACCAAAGUGGGGGACCUUCGGGCCUCACACCAUCGGAUGUGCCCAGAUGGGAUUAGCUAGUAGGUGGGGUAAUGGCUCACCUAGGCGACGAUCCCUAGCUGGUCUGAGAGGAUGACCAGCCACACUGGAACUGAGACACGGUCCAGACUCCUACGGGAGGCAGCAGUGGGGAAUAUUGCACAAUGGGCGCAAGCCUGAUGCAGCCAUGCCGCGUGUAUGAAGAAGGCCUUCGGGUU
rnacentral:rRNA from 1 species